GUUGUCAGUUACAGCUAUGUACAUGACAACGGUGCUUUAUGCACCAAAUGGAGCUCACAAUACGUUAGCGAAGUUCUUCACACAAACAUCAUUGGCGCAAGUCUGGGAGUGAACAGACAGCAUAAACUUGAAUGUAUUAAAUUAACAUCAACGUCACACGUGCCGUCACCAGUUGAUAUUUGUCCACCUUAAUCACUUAAGAAUAUCCGAGGUGAACGAAGAAGACAUAAAAAUGGGUUGUGGAGGUUCUAAAGGGUUUUUUAAAAGCGGUGGUAAAGGUGGAGGUUGCGGUGGAUUCGGAAAGGUGUGUGGGUCGAGCAGACCAGGUUCAGGAAAAGGGCACAAAGGUCAUCACGGGAAAAAGAAACAUCACGGAAAACGCAGGGGCAGCCAUUCGUGUUCUGAUUCGGACUAAUGCAGUAUUGUGGUUGUUUAUCGGCAGACUAAAAGACAUGCUUUGUUGCCUGCAUACAGAUAGAACAAUGACGAUGACAUUCACUAUUGUUAAAUUUGCCAUUUAUUUUCAUUGCAGUAAUUUGCUUUUUCGUCUAAUGGGUUCAACCAAUAUUGAAACUGACAGGCCGAUUAUAUAUACAUGUAUAUAUUGAAGGAAGCGAAAAAUACAGUGAUUAAAAUCAGCUCUACUGGUCUAGUUAUGAACCAGUGGAGCUGACUUUAAUCAGAUUGUGAAAAAUAUAAAAUCAUGGACAGGCAAAGUCUUAGCCUUAACAAAAAGUCCAAGGUUUUCGCCUAUGAAAGGCUGUACCUGCUUUUCAAAAUUAAUUUUCAAUACUGAAAAUGUUUUUAAAAUAAUAUUAAAAAACAAAACAAAACACAGCAACAAUGAAUGAAAUAGUCCCCAAUAAGUUUAUAAGUUUUAUACUGAUUCUGUUGUACUCAUGUUACGUAAUACCGUAAAUUAUGUUUAGCAAUAAUAUUGGUCUAGUAUUACAGUCUAUGUGUAUGUGUACAGGGGCGUGCGCAGGAAAUUUUGCGGGGGGGGGGGGGGUCGAGGUGUCUGGCGAAGCCCGAUAACAUCUCGGUACUUCCAUAUCCAUUCACAGGAAUGUAAAAAAUCGGGAUAUGAAAAAAAAAUUCGCCUUGAGCAGGGGGGGUUUCGACACCCACCCCCCACCCCACCCCCCGCGCACGCGCCUGGUGUAACAUGCUUAAAAGUUUGGGUUUUGGUGUGUGUUUUUUUGUAAUUCUUUAUACGUUUUAAACUUUAUAUUGACUCCGCUCACACUAACAGACGUUCUGUAAUGCAAAUAUAAUAAUUAACCUGAAUGACUUCACCCCGUUUUUUUUUUUUUAAUACGAUCGUCUUUAACGUUGGUUUGGGUCAACGUAGAGGGUUUUGAAAUUAAAGUGGGUAAUAUUUUUUGGUCACUUCAAAUUAAUACUGAAGAUGUAAAUAUUUUAUACACUUUUUUUUUUAAGUUUGUGAUUAACAUGCUAGUAAAAAUAAUGUGGAAAUUUCCACAAUCUGCAAGAAUUAUUACUACCAAACGUUAUCUACGAAAAAUCGUUUCAAAAAUAUACAACUGGUGUAUGUUCAUAAAAUUAAAAGAAAAACAUUAAAUAGUGUAGCAAUA